GACGAACGCUGGCGGCGUGCUUAACACAUGCAAGUCGUACGGUAAGGCCCUUUCGGGGGUACACGAGUGGCGAACGGGUGAGUAACACGUGAGUAACCUGCCCACAACUUUGGGAUAACGCUAGGAAACUGGUGCUAAUACUGGAUAUGUGCUCCUGCUGCAUGGUGGGGGUUGGAAAGCUCCGGCGGUUGUGGAUGGACUCGCGGCCUAUCAGCUUGUUGGUGGGGUAGUGGCCUACCAAGGCGGCGACGGGUAGCCGGCCUGAGAGGGUGCCCGGCCAAAUGGGGCCUGAGUUCGGCCCAGACUCCUACGGGAGGCAGCAGUGGGGAAUAUUGCACAAUGGGCGCAAGCCUGAUGCAGCAACGCCGCGUGCGGGAUGACGGCCUUCGGGUUGUAAACCGCUUUCAGCAGGGACGAAGCUUUUUGUGACGGUACCUGCAGAAGAAGCACCGGCUAACUACGUG
rnacentral:rRNA from 1 species